UACAGGGGGUGCAAGCGUUGUUCGGAAUUAUUGGGCGUAAAGCGCGUGUAGGCGGAUCGUUAAGUCUGGUGUGAAAUCCCUCGGCUCAACUGAGGACGUGCAUUGGAUACUGGCGACCUUGAGUCCUGGAGAGGGUAGCGGAAUUCCCAGUGUAGAGGUGAAAUUCGUAGAUAUUGGGAGGAACACCGGUGGCGAAGGCGGCUCACUGGCUCGGUACUGACGCUGAGGUGCGAAAGCGUGGGGAGCAAACAGG
rnacentral:rRNA from 1 species